rnacentral:tRNA from 1 species
GCCUUCGUGGUGUAGUGGUCAGCACGCUUGACGCGUAACCGAGAGGUCAGUGGUUCGAUUCCCGGCGAAAGCG